rnacentral:rRNA from 1 species
UGGGGAAUAUUGGACAAUGGGCGAAAGCCUGAUCCAGCAAUGCCGCGUGAGUGAUGAAGGCCUUAGGGUUGUAAAGCUCUUUUACCCGGGAUGAUAAUGACAGUACCGGGAGAAUAAGCUCCGGCUAACUCCGUGCCAGCAGCCGCGGUAAUACGGAGGGAGCUAGCGUUGUUCGGAAUUACUGGGCGUAAAGCGCGCGUAGGCGGUUACUCAAGUCAGAGGUGAAAGCCCGGGGCUCAACCCCGGAACUGCCUUUGAAACUAGGUGACUAGAAUCUUGGAGAGGUCAGUGGAAUUCCGAGUGUAGAGGUGAAAUUCGUAGAUAUUCGGAAGAACACCAGUGGCGAAGGCGACUGACUGGACAAGUAUUGACGCUGAGGUGCGAAAGCGUGGGGAGCAAACA